AUUGAACGCUGGCGGCAUGCCUUACACAUGCAAGUCGAACGGCAUCGCGGGAAAGCUUGCUUUCCUGGCGGCGAGUGGCGAACGGGUGAGUAACACAUCGGAACGUACCGGCUAGUGGGGGAUAACCCGUCGAAAGACGGGCUAAUACCGCAUACGCUCUUCGGAGGAAAGCAGGGGACCUUUGUGCCUUGCGCUAGUCGAGCGGCCGAUGUCCGAUUAGCUAGUUGGUGGGGUAAAGGCCUACCAAGGCGACGAUCGGUAGCGGGUCUGAGAGGACGAUCCGCCACACUGGGACUGAGACACGGCCCAGACUCCUACGGGAGGCAGCAGUGGGGAAUCUUGGACAAUGGGGGCAACCCUGAUCCAGCAAUGCCGCGUGGGUGAAGAAGGCCUUCGGGUUGUAAAGCCCUUUCGGCAGGGAAGAAAUCGGCGGGGCGAAUAACCCUGCUGGAUGACGGUACCUGCAGAAGAAGCACCGGCUAACUACGUG
rnacentral:rRNA from 1 species